rnacentral:lncRNA from 1 species
CACAAUAAGCUUGUUUGACAGAUCAUUGCCAAGAAACAUCAUGUGAACGCCCACCAUACCUCUGCAACAAUAUUACACUAUGAACAAUCACAGACGUUGGAAGCUCCCACAUCAUGCGGUUUUAACCCGGUCAUGUCAAGAAACUUCAGUAGUUGUCCCGGGAUUGUGCAUCCUUGGGCCCUCCCUGCCCUCUUGGGGAAUAUAUCGCCGAUGAAGCUGGCAUCAUGCCUUGGUUUGCAGCAGGGCCCUGGUGUUGUUUUUUCUGCACCACAAAAUUAAAUGGCUCAUCAUGCUUCCAGUGUUAUAACGGCAGAUGGUUUCAUACCACGGAGAAGGGCGGAAACCAUACACUAGCAGGGGAUUUUAAUGAUGAGGCAUCGUCCACAGCUACAGCUGCAUGGUCCGGCGAUUGAUGGAACAGUAGAAGAGCUAUAGACCGGUCAAUCGGGUUGGUCUGUGUCUCAAUGCUCUGAGGAUCAGCAA